GGAAAGUUGCAAAGUACUUUGAAGAGAGAGUUCAAGAGGACGUGAAACCGAUAGGAUGGAAGCAGAUGAAGUUGACGAACGUGUGUCGUAUUCAAAAUCGCUGUCAGCGGUUUGUUUUUACGGCCGAUGUGGGCCGGCGGCUUUGGUCAAUGCAACGCGUCUAGCGUCGAUGGUGACCCUGCGGAGGGACAAUCAGUCGAUGUACGGUGCUUGGUAUGGCUAAGGUUUCGCCGGUCUUAAAGUCAGCGCCUCAUCUGACCCGUCUUGAAACACGGACCAAGGAGUGUAGCGUUUGCGCAAGUCUUAGAGUGUAUCGAAACUUUGAGGCGUAACGAAAGUAAAUGCAGUUUAAUCUGCUGACUUGGGAUGCGUUGUCUCUUGUGGACGGCGCUGGACCAAGGUUUUAUCGCGAUCGCUUGCGGUGCGGUGAAAAUA
rnacentral:rRNA from 1 species